AGCAGAGUGGCGCAGUGGAAGCGUGCUGGGCCCAUAACCCAGAGGACCGAGGAUCGAAACCUUGCUCUGCUA
rfam:Glossina palpalis gambiensis isolate 146720 unplaced genomic scaffold Scaffold412, whole genome shotgun sequence.